rnacentral:rRNA from 1 species
UACGUAGGCAGCGAGCGUUGUUCGGAGUUACUGGGCGUAAAGCGUGCGUAGGCGGUGCCAUAAGUCUGUUGUGAAAUCUCCCGGCUUAACUGGGAGGGUGCGGUGGAAACUGUGGUGCUGGAGUGUGGGAGAGGUAGGCGGAAUUCCUGGUGUAGCGGUGAAAUGCGUAGAUAUCGGGAGGAACACCAGUGGCGAAGGCGACUACCUGGCUCGAUACUGACGCUCAUGCACGAAAGCGUGGGGAGCAAACAGG